rnacentral:rRNA from 1 species
GACGAACGCUGGCGGCGUGCUUAACACAUGCAAGUCGAACGGAAAGGCCCUGCUUUUGUGGGGUGCUCGAGUGGCGAACGGGUGAGUAACACGUGAGUAACCUGCCCUUGACUUUGGGAUAACUUCAGGAAACUGGGGCUAAUACCGGAUAGGAGCUCCUGCUGCAUGGUGGGGGUUGGAAAGUUUCGGCGGUUGGGGAUGGACUCGCGGCUUAUCAGCUUGUUGGUGGGGUAGUGGCUUACCAAGGCUUUGACGGGUAGCCGGCCUGAGAGGGUGACCGGCCACAUUGGGACUGAGAUACGGACCAGACUCCUACGGGAGGCAGCAGUGGGGAAUAUUGCACAAUGGGAGGAAGCCUGAUGCAGCAACGCCGCGUGCGGGAUGACGGCCUUCGGGUUGUAAACAGCUUUCGCCUGUGACGAAGCGUGAGUGACGGUAAUGGGUAAAGAAGCACCGGCUAACUACGUG